rnacentral:lncRNA from 1 species
UUAUCUUCAUUAUACUCAGGAUAGCAUUGAAGAUCAGGGGAAUAUCACGCGGAGUGCAAAAGGGAGGAAUGGAGAAAUUAGGACUGAUAUCGAAAGUAGAGAAGUGUAGCCCAUAAUCCCUGUAAGACUUAGCUCCACUCAUAUUGUCUCGAAUAAGCUUUCCAUUUGAGCCAAAAGGAUGAGCUCAGAGUGUCAGAUAUAAGAGAAUCAAGCAAACAUAGAAAAGAAAAAGAGAAUAGGCAACUUACUUCCUGUUCGCAGGGAAAAAGGAAGGACCAACAAGCAAUUAAUGGCAACUUACUUCCUGUUCGCAGGGAAAAAGCACCGCAACAAUAUACCAACCACGCUGGAAUUGGCUGAGAAACCCUUGCAUUACCUAUUGGUAGAGUACAGGUACGUAAAUAAUGCCAGUUGGUAGAGUACAGGUAAGUAAAUAAUGCCAGUGGAAGUUAUUGGUAAUGAAUCUAAAUUGAAAGGGAAAUAAUCAAGUAUAUACUAGGGUUCGGUUACUCUGCCAGUGAGUAUAGGGUUCGUUCGGGUCAAUAAUGCGAGUAGAUUGAUUGGGGUGCGCGCUAAAGUCUCUUACCCGAUGAUGACAACUAUAGGGGCUUAUCCAUACGAGAACUUGGCUGAGCCUGAGCUAUGAAUCAAACUAGAAUUACUGUAGACCUUAAUAAGGGCAGCUGCAACUAUUCCGAUCCUAUGCCACUCUUCUCUUUAAGCGAUGAAUUCCAUCAUAAUCAUUGACGUGACUGACUAGAUACACUAAUGGCACGAUCGAAUCUUUGAAUAGAAGCAGAAGUAAUGUGCUUUCCUCGUAAGGUAAGAGAAAAGCUUUGGGCCGGGGAAUCGAGUUCAAAGGUGGAGAUCCAAGGACGAGUUCAAACAUUAAGGAAAGAGAAAAGAAUAAGAUACCACUCAAAUGUAAGGGAAAGAAAAGAAGAAGCUCAGCUAUCGUUUACUUCCAGCAAUAAAGUAGGUCACAACACUGAUUGAGCAUACAAAACCGGACUCCAUCAUUCAUCCCUGG